rnacentral:rRNA from 1 species
AGUGAACGCUGGCGGCAGGCCUAACACAUGCAAGUCGAACGGUAGCACAGAGGAGCUUGCUCCUUGGGUGACGAGUGGCGGACGGGUGAGGAAUACAUCGGAAUCUACCCUGUCGUGGGGGAUAACGUAGGGAAACUUACGCUAAUACCGCAUACGAACUGAGGUUGAAAGCGGCGGACCGCAAGGCGUCGCGCGAUUGGAUGAGCCGAUGUCCGAUUAGCUAGUUGGCGGGGUAAUGGCCCACCAAGGCGACGAUCGGUAGCUGGUCUGAGAGGAUGAUCAGCCACACUGGAACUGAGACACGGUCCAGACUCCUACGGGAGGCAGCAGUGGGGAAUAUUGGACAAUGGGCGCAAGCCUGAUCCAGCCAUGCCGCGUGUGUGAAGAAGGCCUCGGUUGUAAGCACUUUGUUGGGUAAAGAAAGUACCUGUCGGUUAAUACCCGGCGGGCGUGACGGUACCCAAACGAAUAAG